rnacentral:misc_RNA from 1 species
AACGGUCUAUACCUGCGGUACCUGCGGAGGGAUCAUUAAAGAGAAAACUGCCCUUUGGGUAGAUCUCCCACCCUUUGUUUACCUUACCUUUGUUGCUUUGGCAGGCCCGUCUUCUGACCACCGGCUUUAGCUGGUCCGUGCCUGCCAGAGGACCCCAAACUCUUAAUUUUAAGUUGUCCGAGUCUUAUAAAAUAGUAAAAACUUUUAACAAUGGAUCUCU